UACGAAGGGGGCUAGCGUUGUUCGGAAUCACUGGGCGUAAAGGGCGCGUAGGCGGCCGAUCAAGUCGGGGGUGAAAGCCUGUGGCUCAACCACAGAAUUGCCUUCGAUACUGUUUGGCUUGAGACCGGAAGAGGUAAGUGGAACUGCGAGUGUAGAGGUGAAAUUCGUAGAUAUUCGCAAGAACACCAGUGGCGAAGGCGGCUUACUGGUCCGGUUCUGACGCUGAGGCGCGAAAGCGUGGGGAGCAAACCGG
rnacentral:rRNA from 1 species